GACGAACGCUGGCGGCGUGCUUAACACAUGCAAGUCGAACGGAAAGGCCCUGCUUUUGUGGGGUGCUCGAGUGGCGAACGGGUGAGUAACAAGUGAGUAACCUGCCCUUGACUUUGGGAUAACUUCAGGAAACUGGGGCUAAUACCGGAUAGGAGCUCCUGCUGCAUGGUGGGGGUUGGAAAGUUUCGGCGGUUGGGGAUGGACUCGCGGCUUAUCAGCUUGUUGGUGGGGUAGUGGCUUACCAAGGCUUUGACGGGUAGCCGGCCUGAGAGGGUGACCGGGCACAAUGGUACUGAGAUACGGCCCAGAAGCCUACGGGAGGCAGCAGUGGGGAAUAUUGCACAAUGGGCGGAAGCCUGAUGCAGCAACGCCGCGUGCGGGAUGACGGCCUUCGGGUUGUAAACCGCUUUCGCCUGUGACGAAGCGUGAGUGACGGUAAUGGGUAAAGAAGCACCGGCUAACUACGUG
rnacentral:rRNA from 1 species